CGCUAUCGCUAAUUGAAAGAGUUAGAAAUAUGAAACAACUGUGCAAGAUCUUACUUUUGAGAUGCUCUAGAUGAGGCAAGACGUGGUUUAUCUAAAUCAAUACGAAGUUUCAACAUGAGCCUUGAUGCCAAUGCUACAGGAUCGGCACAAUUCCCAUUUUUAGUUCGAAAUGGUGUACUUGAGGUAAGCCAUGGGUGCUGUACAACAUGUUUGACAGAGUAGCGCUUAAAUGGAUCACUUCGAAGCAUUCCGGUGAUAAUCGCUGAUCAUUAGUUUAAAGGAAUUUCAGUCAGGACUUACAAUAGGCUCCUGGAGACAACAAGUUCCAUGGGUGGUAAGACGGGCGUUCACAUUGUUUUUUAUAAAGCAAGUAGUCACCAGUGUUGCUAAUUGCUUCAUCCCAAGGUGUGUUGCCUAAUAACAAAGCAAAAAGAAUUAUACCGCAGGACCAGACAUCAACUUUUGAACCAUCAUACUGCUGUGUAAUUUCUGGAGCAGCGUAUGGUGGACUACCCACUGGACUAUUCAAAAGCCUACUUUUACCUUUAUAGGAAAAUAAAGAUGCAAAGCCGAAGUCUGAAAUCUUUAAGUUACCAUUGUAAUCUAAAAGGAUGUUCUCAGGUUUCAAGUCUCGAUGCGCGACACCUUUAGAGUGCAUGAAGGAAAUACCUUCCAUAAGUUGAGCAAAAUAAAACUGAGCGACGUCCUCAUCAAUACCUACAUCAGGCUCUAAAUUGUAAGUCCGUUAGUAAAAACGAAAGGUUCAUGCACCCACCUAUUUUGUCAAAUAAGUCACCACCUUGAGCAAAUUCAAGUACUACCCAUCUCCAUUGGG